GACCCGAGCGACCAACGGGCAGCCGAGGCGGGCAUGACCCAAACUGCAAUGAACACUGCUGCCUAGUGCCAACCGAUGAAAAGGCAGGCACAUGAAGACUUUACGGCGCGUCUUCAUCCACCUUAUUCACGGGGCCUGGCACUGUGUGACUGCUGGCUCUUCCCCAAAGUCAAAAUGACCAUGAAAGUCCCGCCUUCUUCCCUUCCUCCUGGUUCAAAAGCAGCUGAGCUGAAAGAAGCCCAC